GCCCGGGGCGGGAGGAGCGCGCGGCCCGGGGCAGCAGCCGAGGGGCUCGGGGCCCGGCGCGUAGGGGCCGCCGCCAUGGACUGCGCCGGGGCCGCUCCGGACUCGCCGCCGCAGGUGUCCACUUCGCAGGGCUCCUGAGCACGCCCUGGCACAGCCACCCCUUCCCGCUCUCCGGCCUGGCCAGACCCUGCAAACCUGCUUCCGCAAUGGGUAACGAGGAGCUGUGGGCCCAGCCAGCCUUGGAGAUGCCGAAGAGACGGGACAUCCUUGCGAUUGUCCUCAUCGUGCUGCCCUGGACGCUGCUGGUCACCGUGUGGCACCAGAGCACCAUCGCGCCUCUGCUCACCACGCACAAGGAUGACGGCAGGGACCCCCGGCGCGAGGCGGCCCCGGGCGCCGACCCCAGGGAGUACUGCAUGUCGGACCGCGACAUCGUGGAGGUGGUGCGCACGGAGUACGUGUACACGCGGCCGCCGCCCUGGUCGGACACGCUGCCCACCAUCCACGUGGUGACGCCCACCUACAGCCGCCCGGUGCAGAAGGCCGAGCUCACGCGCAUGGCCAACACGCUGCUGCACGUGCCCAACCUGCACUGGCUGGUGGUGGAGGACGCGCCGCGCCGGACCCCGCUCACCGCGCGCCUGCUGCGCGACACGGGCCUCAACUACACGCACCUGCACGUGGAGACGCCCCGCAACUACAAGCUGCGCGGCGACGCCCGCGACCCGCGCAUCCCGCGGGGCACCAUGCAGCGCAACCUGGCCCUGCGCUGGCUGCGCGAGACCUUCCCGCGCAACUCGAGCCAGCCCGGCGUCGUGUACUUCGCCGACGACGACAACACCUACAGCCUGGAGCUCUUCGAGGAGAUGCGCAGCACCAGGAGGGUGUCUGUGUGGCCCGUCGCCUUCGUUGGUGGCCUUCGCUACGAGGCGCCGCGGGUCAAUGGCGCCGGGAAGGUGGUCGGCUGGAAGACGGUGUUCGACCCGCACCGACCCUUCGCCAUCGACAUGGCUGGAUUUGCCGUCAACCUGCGGCUCAUCCUGCAGCGCAGCCAGGCCUACUUCAAGCUGCGCGGCGUCAAAGGCGGCUACCAGGAAAGCAGCCUCCUCCGAGAACUUGUCACCCUCAAUGACCUGGAGCCCAAGGCAGCCAACUGCACCAAGAUCCUGGUCUGGCACACGCGGACGGAGAAGCCGGUGCUGGUGAAUGAGGGGAAGAAAGGCUUCACCGACCCCACUGUGGAGAUCUGAGCCCCAGGACACGGGUGCGUUGCUGGGGCGCGGCCACGAUCUUGGGCACCCGUCCAGUCUUCCCUGCAGAAGUGUUGCUCUUUGUAUUUGGUUCCUCAAGACGUCCACCGACGCGGGCCGCGGAGCCUCCUCCUCGCACCGUUCCUGGCCGUCCAUCGUCUCCCGUGGCUGAUGGUCCCUCCGAGGCAACCUCCUGAGGAAGCACCAUCACCCUCCUCCUCCGGGGGCUGCAGAGCGCGCCCAGCCUGCUCCAGGACACGGGACGGAGGAGCUAAAGCACAGACCCCAGACCUGUUGUUCUCUUCCCUGCGGUUGACCGGCCCCACCGCUAGCCCAGAGGGCCAGCCCCAGCCCGAGCUCCCUGCGCGACGGGGCCUGCGGGCAGGUACGGGGGCCCCGGCCCUGGGGUGAGGCCAGGCUGGACAGGUGAGAAGCCCCCAGCUGUCCGGGGCAGUAUGGCCUUCCCCGCCCGCUCCUGGGGCCCAGCAUGACGCCCAGGCCACCUGCCGGGGAGCACUGGGAACACCCGGGCAGAGCUGCCCCUGAGGAGCCAGGCCUCUCUGGCUUCCCCCUGGCUCCUGCCUCCAGAGAAGGCUGUCUUGACCCCCACGGGCGACCGUCCUGCUGCAGGGCCCCUGAGCCUCCCGCCGCGCUGGGGGGGACGUCCCUGUGGUGGCCCCGCGCCUCGCACCUGCUCCCAGCCACACAGGGUGGGGGGCCCUGGAGCCAGCACGGGGCCCGACCUGGACUGAGACCGUGCGGCCCGUGGACACUCGGCCUUCCCCUUGCCCUGGCCCGGCAGGCAGGAGCCCUCUGUGUGGAGGCCUAGAGGCCUGGGGGGGCUGAGUGAGCCGGGGCCACUCCGUGCUUCCUCCUGCCCCUGCUGGGGUGCUGGGGGGCGGGCUGUGGCUUCAGGGGAUCCGUGCAAACGGGCGAGGGCACUUGGACCCUGAGGGGGCGCUGUUGUGCAAAUCAUGCCCUCUUACGGCUCCGAGGCCGCGCGGCCUGCGCCCCCCGCCCCCCAGGAACAGUGUGCGCUGCUCCCCGGACCACAGCCCUCUGCUGAAAGCUGGAAGCACAAUUUUCCACAAUUUUCCUUUCCAAGUCAAGAAAAAGGAACAGCCUGAGCCAACCCAAGAGGUGUUUAUUUUUUAACGCUAACAGCCCCCCCUCUGUGCACAUCCCGAGACCGGUGCCCCCGCCCGCAGCCCCUUCCGGGGGGCGUCCCCAGCCCACCAGUCAGAAGGGGCACUGGCUGCCGAGUGGGAAGUGGAUUCAGGGCCCCGCAGCGUCCGCGAUCACCCCGCUGGGCCCCGCCGGGCUCCGCCGGGCAGGACGUUGCCAGCAGGUCCCCGGGCCGCUCGGAGCCGGGGUGACGGGCGGGAGGACGGGGGUGCACGACCCGCGAUGAAUCCACCCAGGCACAGCACUGCCUCACUCACCGACACCGCCCUGAGCGCUCAGGGCAGCCUGGCUGGUCGUAGGCCACCUUCUUAGCCAAAAACCCAGGGCUCGUUUUUCAGGAAAUUGAUAAUGAACAGCAAAAGGGGAUUACUCUCUCUGUUUUUUGUUUUUUGGGUUUUUUUUUUUUUUUUUGGCGGAUCCUAUUUCCGUUCUUUUCACCUAAUAGCCUCUCGUAGCUGCAUGUGUAUUUAUUUAUAAUUAUAACCCUGGUGGACUGCAGCUUUCAUCUUUGUCGGGAGCGAGUUUGUUCCAAAUCAGAGCUGGGUCGUGACCACAGUGUUUGGCAAACCUGGUCUGUCCCUGCUCUGCACCACAGAGGAGCGGGGCCGGGGGCUCGGAGCCCCGAGAACGGAGCCUGGGGAGACGGCAGGGCCCAUGCAGCUGCGCCAUCUGGUCUGUUUUAAUUUAACUGUAUUUAAUUUGUUUCCAAAAUUAAAAGUCAAACAUGGUUUUUAACAGCCCUAACCCUCCGCAGCCCGGCCUUUAUUCUCGCAGCCUGCCUUCACCUCCCCCGGCACCUGUCCGGCAGGCGCUACCCUCGGAAUCCGCACCAAGCGGUCAGGGCACACAGCACCGUCUUCCUGGAGCUUCCCUCCCGGGAAACGAGCCGAACCCCCGUAUUCCAGGUGUGGUCUGGGCCGGGAGAAGCAGGCGGCCAGGUGGGGGGUGAGCGCAGCUCGGGGUCUACCCCUCCUGCACACGGGGUCGGAGCCCCCGACAGCAUCAGGACCAGCGGGAAGGCCAGCGCACCUGCCACCGAUGGGGGGACGCCGCAGGGGGUCCAGGCCGGAGCUUUGGCUUCUCCCCAGGGGAGAGGGAACUGGAGCCGCGGGAGGGCCUACAGCUGAGGGCCACCAGGAUGUACGCGGCUGUAGAGGCGCCGGUGCCCCCCUGCGCCGACCGCCAACAGAGGCCAGGCCAGGCCAGGGAGGCUCCGGCCACCAUCUAGGCAGCAGGUGACGGGGAGUCAGAAGAGCAGACCCCGGGGCCGAGACAACCGCUCGGGCGAGGCCCAGCCAGGAGACCCCCCGCCUCCGGGGAGACGGACUACACGGCGGGAGAGCCAGCGGCCCAAACGACCCUGAG